UUGCCUCAGUAACGGCGAGUGAAGCGGCAACAGCUCAAAUUUGAAAUCUGGCCCCGUCGGGGUCCGAGUUGUAAUUUGUAGAGAGUGUUUCGGGCGAGGCCACGGUCUAAGUCCAUUGGAACAUGGCGUCACAGAGGGUGAGAAUCCCGUACGUGACCGUGGCCCGAGCCCAUGUGAAGCCUCUUCGACGAGUCGAGUUGUUUGGGAAUGCAGCUCAAAAUGGGUGGUAAAUUUCAUCUAAAGCUAAAUACUGGCUGGAGACCGAUAGCGCACAAGUAGAGUGAUCGAAAGAUGAAAAGCACUUUGGAAAGAGAGUCAAAAAGUACGUGAAAUUGUUGAAAGGGAAGCGCUUGCAACCAGACCUGUCCGUAGGCGAUCAGCCGCUGUUCUCAGCGGUGCACUCGCUCUGCGAUCAGGCCAGCAUCGGUUUCGGCGGUCGGAUAAAGGCCCUGGGAAUGUAGCUUCUUUCGGGGAGUGUUAUAGCCCUCGGUGCAAUGCGGCCAGCCGAGACCGAGGACCACGCGUAUGCUAGGAUGCUGGCGUAAUGGUUGUCAGCGACCCGUCUUGAAACACGGACCAAGGAGUCUAACAUCUAUGCGAGUGUUUGGGUGUAAAACUCAUACGCGGAAUGAAAGUGAACGGAGGUGAGAACCCACUAGGGCGCAUCAUCGACCGAUCCAGAUGUCUUCGGAUGGAUUUGAGUAUGAGCAUAGCUGAUGGAACCCGAAAGAUGGUGAACUAUGCCUGAAUAGGGUGAAGCCAGAGGAAACUCUGGUGGAGGCUCGCAGCGGUUCUGACGUGCAAAUCGAUCGUCAAAUUUGGGUAUAGGGGUAAGUUUUUACGUUUUUAAAGAUACCCAGAAAUAAAUGCUAACUUUUUAUCAGGCGAAAGACUAAU
rnacentral:rRNA from 1 species